rnacentral:rRNA from 1 species
UACGUAGGGGGCAAGCGUUGUCCGGAAUCAUUGGGCGUAAAGCGCGCGUAGGCGGCCCGGUAAGUCCGCUGUAAAAGUCAAAGGCUCAACCUUUGAAUGCCGGUGGAUACUGUCGGGCUAGAGUCCGGAAGAGGCGAGUGGAAUUCCUGGUGUAGCGGUGGAAUGCGCAGAUAUCAGGAGGAACACCGGUGGCGAAGGCGACAUCCUGGACCGGUAUUGACGCUGAGGCGCGAAAGCCAGGGGAGCAAACGGG